rnacentral:lncRNA from 1 species
CUUUUCAAUUAAUUCAACUCACAAAUAUAAAAGAGUUGUUACACAUUUGGAUCUCAAUUUACGAUUCAUAAUAAGUAAACUUCAAUAGUCAAACAAAAGGAAGAUUAUCUCUACAGACGGAAGAAAAUGUAUGUGCUUCUUAGUAGAGUAUAAAUUUAAGAUUCUGUUCACAAGUAAAUUUGGACGUGGAUAGACAAUAUAAGACUGUCUAUAGAACAUAAUAUAUAUUUUAUGUAACCUUCAGUAUGACAACUUCCCCUUAUAAACAGGUUCAUCCAAUGACCAGCCACACAUCUCCAUUCUCUUGCCAUGUAUGUGACGUAUUAAAAAACUAAUAAAGUGGGGAACAUUCCAAUCCACAACUUGUUUCUUAUAUUUCAUAUAGUUUGCACAUUUUUCUUACCAUAUUGUAGUAGGAAUGAAGCAUUUUGUUGACAAUUGUAUUGUUGUCAGUUGCAAUUGAAAUUUGAGCCACGUAAAGAACCAGAAGAAUCAUAUGAAGCACUGUGAGGAUAAUUAGGGUCUUGUAGUUUUUGCAUACAAUUGUAUGCUAAAAAAUUCUUACAAUUGGGAGUUAUAAACAUAAAAAUCUUGGGGGUUAUAAAAUUGAAGAGGUGUGAUUAAGAGCAAAUAUUAUAAAAAUGAAAAGGUGUGAUUAAAAGUAGAUGUUAUGAAAAUAAAGAGGUGUGAGUCAUGGAGCUGAUUUUUAAAUAAUAUUAAUUG